UUACGCUUUUCUGACUGAACAUGAAACAUGAUGCAUUUGGACAUUUCUCGUUUUAUUUGGUACUCAUCACUCACACACACUCAUACAACCUGUGCAUUUUAAGUAAUAGUCCACUUGCGCAGGAAAUAAAUGCCACGCAUGAAGAUCACUGUCGUCUUAUUCAAAUGUGCACCAGCAACAUCAAAUAACAGUUAUUCAAAUACGUUCGUACAGGCCCUAACUAUACAACGUGCUCCCACACACACACACCCACGAGCCACGCCUCCUGAAACGCUGGGCUACCGGUGAUUGUUGAAAACCAAUGAAGGACCAGGACCUCACAAAAGGCUAAUAACUAGACAGGACUGUCCGAACAUUACACACUACACCAACUACAUACUAUACUGUAACGAGGAGUGUUCCCUGCCGGACAACACCAUGGGUAAGCGCAAGGUCAAAAACAACGUCAAACAGGAGGAUCAAGUUGCCUCUUGUGCUGGAUCCACCGGUGGUCAAAAGUAAACCGCGCAACCAUUAUGUUCUUCUGUGCUUUUUGUUAUUCGUGGUCGUCGUUGGGGGUCCACUUCUCAGUUGGCUCUGUUAUCAGCAGCAACAAUCCAUUGACGAUUUGCAGAAACCGUUACGUCUUGCAGAGGAAGUUUGUUAAGUUCCAACAACAUGAUGGGGCAGGGAACACACAAUUGGAUGGCAUUAGUCAUGUGGAAGAGAGGCUGCUGGCUCUGGAGCAGGCACAGCCCGAGGCCCAGAAGCAGGCAGAGAUGGCCCUGACAGCUACCGAGCCAACUGGACGAUUCGGACCUCCGUUGCUCAGGUGCUGGCCCUGCAUACUGAGAUGACUACAGAGCUGAACAAGAUUGCAGACCUGCAGCAGAUGGAGUGUCAGUGGCUGCACUGAGUGCACUUUCUCACGGACCAAAGCAAGGAGCUGGAGGCGGUGAAGCAGAGCAUCAGUGACAUUCUGAGCUCCAACUCCCAGCUUGCCCUCAGCAUCUCCAGCAUCUCCAGCAGUAUCACCAGUGCGGCAUCCCAACUCGACCAGCAUGGCGUUUCUGUAGACGACAUGAGUAUGCAGCUACAGGGGCAGGCCGAUGACAUCCAUAGCCUAAAAGAAAUUCUCUCUAGUCAGCAGGCGUCUCUCGAGUCCAACGGUCAGGAGGUGCUGGAACUAAAGAGCCUGUUGGUGAUGGAGCGGAUGAAGAGGAAGAAAUCCCUGAAUAAGCAACUAAGAACCGUACAGCAGAGCAUAUCAGAGCAACUCAGCCCUGCCCACAGCCUCCAUGCUGACCUGGAGACCCCAUUGCUUGCUGUGCAUAGCCAGGAACCCGAGGAGCUACCUAGUGAGCAGGUAGACCAAGAAGCUGCAGAAGAAACACCUAAUGAAAUAGCCGAGGAAGCCUAUGAAGAGGAGAUGGCAGUAGUAGAAACUGAAUCCAUGGAGGAGGCAGCUGAAGCUGAUGAGGAAGCAAUAGAUGAAGCUUCUGAUGAAACACUGGAGGCAGAAGAAGCAAUUGACAUUGUAGAGGAAACAACCAGAGAAGAGCCAGAAGAUGUUUCUGAGGAACCACUGGAGGAAGAGCAAAAAGAAUCAGCUGAUAUUGUGGAGGAACCCACAGAAAAUCAGAUGGAAGAAACAGUAGAUGAAGUGACAGAAGAAGAUAUUGCAGAAGAACAAGCCGACGACGAAGAAUUUGCUGAGGAAGUAACAGAAGAAUUAGCGGAAGAGGAGGCAGAUGAAGACAAAUCAGAAGAAGAAGAAAUAGAAGAAGAAGAAGAAGAAGAAAAAGGAGAAGAAGAAGAAGAGGAUGAAACUACAGAAGAACUGGCAGAAGGGACAGAACGUUCUUUAGAUGAUAACUCUGUGGACGACACUACAGAGGAACCAUCAGAACUUGAUGAAGAAUCUACUGAGGACAAUUUUGAGGAGGACUCUGUUGAUGAGCAGGCUGAUGCUGAGGAGGAAUUAGUUGAAGAUGAUUUUGAAGAGGAACUUAAAUAUGAGCCAUCAGAAAAUGUAGAAGAAUUUGGAGAAGAUGUCAUGGAGGAAACCACAGAGGAGGCACGAGAAGAUGCGGAAUAUGAUGAAGAUGAUUUUGCAGAGUUUGAAUAGUUUACAAAAUAAGGCGCUUUUUCAAAAGAGCAAGAUAAUGAAACAUUAAAACAAACAUGGCUGAAUCAGUCAUUUCUUUUGAUACAUGCUAAUCAUAAUUUGUUUAGAAAUUAUGUCAGGCAAACAAAUAAACAAUAUUUUUACGUUUGUUUUCAAGAGAAACUCUUUUUCUUAGUCAAGAUAAUGGCCCUGCCUUAAUUGUCAUGUUUGUUUGGGUGAGUGUUACCCUGAGAUGAGAUUUUUUUUAAAUGAGAGUUUUGCCUCAAAGAACAUAAAAAAUAAUAUAAUGCACAAAACAACCUAUUUAUAUGAGUAAAACUGUAAUCACUGGAAAUGUCGGCAGAAAAAGCCUAAAUUAUCAUAACUGUAAUGAUUUUAUCUUUAAUCUCCCUGAGGUUCGAAAAUAAAGCUAAUUUGUAUGUUUUGUACCAUUUGUUUGGUGGUCAUUCGAAUGUUGUGGCCUAUAUUGCCCAUAUCACAGCCCUCUUGCUACCCUCCCCCACUCCCUGUUACUAAUACUGUCUCCACGUUGCUAUUUCUGGCGGCAGCUCUGAAUACUGCUGUGUGGCAGCCAAUCUUACCUCAUUCAGGCCUGUAAGAGAUGUAUAUAUAGUUUGCGUUUUGUUUCCACAACAACUGUUGUAACUGCAGUUACUUUCUCCUAUUUGGGCAAACUCCGCAAGCCACAUCUCGUGCCAAAUAGGCACGGGCAGCGAGGGAGCAACCGCUGUGAGAGCUUCCUCUCUUCAUGCGUCCCCCGUACCCCACGUGCAGUUGUCCCUUCUGAGUGAAACUCAAGCCCGUCUUCCCUAGGGUUAUUUGUGGCCGCACUGUUCGUCUCCGUCUGCUGCCAGACACAGCUGUUCACAUGUCACUGCCAUAUGACCCGCACAGUCCAUUCAGUGGAAAGAUUAGUGUCUAGAUAGAAAUGAAGAGCCACCAGUGGAAAUGUCUCCUAGAUUAUGAAUUGUUGCCGUUGAUCAGUAAUCCUCAAAUUCUUCUUCGUGUACAAACAGACACUUCAAGCUUCCUAUUCAACUGGCCAGAGAAUAGCUUUUCCUAUUUGAAAAGGGUAGAUUGUGUAAAAUUUGUCUUUCUUUCGCUUCCAUUUGUUCCAUGGCAAAGAAACACUAUGCUGUGCUACAGCGUGACACUAUUAAUCAAACAGCUGCUAGCUCAUUGCAUGACCUUUUGAGAAGACAUUUCCCUAAUGAAGUCUGAGGUUGUACAGUUCCUGGAAGCCCCGUACACUGUGUUAAAUGACUGGUGUUUAUAGUACACACACUGCUACCACUCUGCCUCUCCAGAGGAGGGCAGCACUGUCACAGAUACCGUUUACUGUGUGGGCCUAAAGUGAAAAGAUUGUUCACAAAAUGGUUGUGGUCAUGUCUCAAGAGAGCGAAGUCAUUUGCUAUAUUUUAGUAAACCCUCUUCACCAGAUAUGUUCACAUCAGGUAGACCCUGGUAGUAAGUAACAGGUCAACCUGUCACAUUCAUCAAGCUAUAGACCAAUCUGCAUCGUAAUGUGUAUGAAAAGAGGCUUUGUAAUCACUCAGAGGAUAGACUGAACAACCAUAAAUAAACAGUGAGGUCAUCCAGUGACUGAGAAUACCCUGCUACCCUUCACUAUGUGCCCUAGGGUUCAAUACAGAAUGUAUUCUCAUGGAUUGUCUUUUAUGGGGUAGAGCACCUUGCCUUCAAUCGAAUAGACUAUCUACAUCUGACUGUCUUAGGGGGUCACAGGGAACGAGUUCAGAUAAAUGAAAGUGAAAAUCACGCAAGAACAUCUAGUGCAACAGAGUAGUUUCAUAACCACUGUCCUGCUUCAUUGUGCGGAGAGAGAGAGAGUAAGUGGUGAGCGCUGGCCAGGAGGAUGUUUUAUGUAAUCCUGUGUGGAUGAGAGUGAGUGAGUGGGAGGAAGUAUGUGUGUGUG
ensembl:lncRNA